GCAUAUCAAUAAGCGGAGGAAAAGAAAAUAACCAUGAUUGCCUUAGUAACGGCGAGUGAAGAGGCAAAAGCUCAAGUUUGGAAGCUCAGUGGUUUAACCACUGCGCAUUGUAAACUGAAAACAGGAUCAAUCAGGUACACCGGGUGAUAAGUUCCUUGGAAUAGGACAUCAUGGAGGGUGAGAAUCCCGUCUUUGACCCGAGUCUAGUAUCUUUUGUAUUGGCCUGUUCAAGAGUCAGGUUGUUUGGGAAUGCAGCCUAAAGCUGGAGGUAAAUCCCUCCUGAAGCUAAAUAAUGGCGAGAGACCGAUAGCGAACAAGUACCGUGAGGGAAAGAUGAAAAGAACUCUGAAGAGAGAGUUAAACAGUACGUGAAAUUGCUUAAAGGGAAGCAUAUAAAGCUAGGAUGCGAUUGUUUUCUUCAGGUUGAGCUUUGGCUUGACUGUUCAGAAGGAUAAUCCGAGACAACAAGAAUUGAAGGAGGAGAAUAAGCUGUUAGGGAAGGUAAUCCUUCGGGAUGUUUAUAGACCUGGCAGUUCGCGCUCUUCCUUCGAUUGAGGUACGCUUUUUUAAAGGUUGUUGUCUGAAUGGCUUUAUAUGGCCCGUCUUGAAACACGGACC
rnacentral:rRNA from 1 species